AGUGAGCUGCUGGUGUGUUUGUUGUGCACUUUUAAAAAUAUUCACAUUGUCAUUAUAUAUACAAACCAUGCCACUUUCACUAUCACCACUCAGUCCCUCAUCACCAUCACUCAUUCUUCCUCUCUCUUUCUCCACACAGGUCACUUCCGCCUCACACCCUCCGGGACCUACUCACCUGUCGGCUUAGGAUGGCAAAACAAGGCGAGAAGGAUGAGGAAUCUGGCAGUGCUCCACGUAGAUGUUCCUACUCCAGCCGCGGCAAACCCUUCCUAUUCAGACUUCCAUUUUCUUCAAAUCAAGCAGCCACGCGUGGACCCAAAGUCAACUUGAUGACCCCUCCAUCAGCCACGCGGCAGGUAGGGCGUGGCGAUUGUGGGCGGCGAGUCGUGGUCUCGCAUGUAGCCGCCAACGCAGGCGUGGCUGCGUUACACGGUGCGGGCAAGGUUCCCCUUCUUCCGUUCUCGUUAUCCUAGUUGUGGAGGGCGGUGUGCAGUGUUGAUUGUAUCGUUAACUGUAUACCAGUGUAGCAAUAUUUCUACAAUAGAGACAUAAAAACACUCCUGUGUUUAAGUUACUCCUCACGAAACCACACAUAGCUUUUCAGAAAUAUCGCGCGGUAAAAGAGACAAAGGGACCGUAAAUAUGUUCCCCGCCGCUACCCGGCUAAAUUGCGGGUGUUUCCUUUUUUUGUGCCCUUGGGCGACCUCUUUACGCAUAAAAAAAACUGCAUCUUUAUUCAUCUUCUUUAUCUCGAAGUUCCGCUUUU